rnacentral:rRNA from 1 species
GAAAGGCGCGCGAUACAGGGUGACAGCCCCGUACACAAAAAUGCACAUGCUGUGAGCUCGAUGAGUAGGGCGGGACACGUGGUAUCCUGUCUGAAUAUGGGGGGACCAUCCUCCAAGGCUAAAUACUCCUGACUGACCGAUAGUGAACCAGUACCGUGAGGGAAAGGCGAAAAGAACCCCGGCGAGGGGAGUGAAAAAGAACCUGAAACCGUGUACGUACAAGCAGUGGGAGCCUCUUAAUGGGGUGACUGCGUACCUUUUGUAUAAUGGGUCAGCGACUUAUAUUCUGUAGCAAGGUUAACCGAAUAGGGGAGCCGAAGGGAAACCGAGUCUUAACUGGGCGUUAAGUUGCAGGGUAUAGACCCGAAACCCGGUGAUCUAGCCAUGGGCAGGUUGAAGGUUGGGUAACACUAACUGGAGGACCGAACCGACUAAUGUUGAAAAAUUAGCGGAUGACUUGUGGCUGGGGGUGAAAGGCCAAUCAAACCGGGAGAUAGCUGGUUCUCCCCGAAAGCUAUUUAGGUAGCGCCUCGUGAAUUCAUCUCCGGGGGUAGAGCACUGUUUCGGCAAGGGGGUCAUCCCGACUUACCAACCCGAUGCAAACUGCGAAUACCGGAGAAUGUUAUCACGGGAGACACACGGCGGGUGCUAACGUCCGUCGUGAAGAGGGAAACAACCCAGACCGCCAGCUAAGGUCCCAAAGUCAUGGUUAAGUGGGAAACGAUGUGGGAAGGCCCAGACAGCCAGGAUGUUGGCUUAGAAGCAGCCAUCAUUUAAAGAAAGCGUAAUAGCUCACUGGUCGAGUCGGCCUGCGCGGAAGAUGUAACGGGGCUAAACCAUG